UAAGGAACUCAGAUAAUGCUUGGCGCUUA
rnacentral:sRNA from 1 species